UACGAAGGGUGCAAGCAUUACUCGGAAUUAUUGGGCGUAAAGCGCGCGCAGGCGGUCCUUUAAGUCUGAUGGGAAAGCCCACGGCUCAACCGUGGAGGGUCAUUGGAAACUGGGGGACUUGAGUACAGAAGAGAAGAGUGGAAUUCCACGUGUAGCGGUGAAAUGCGUAGAGAUGUGGAGGAACACCAGUGGCGAAGGCGACUCUUUGGUCUGUAACUGACGCUGAGGCGCGAAAGCGUGGGGAGCAAACAGG
rnacentral:rRNA from 1 species